rnacentral:lncRNA from 1 species
AAAAAAUUAAAAACAGUCCAACAAUAAGUGGCCCAAAGCAAAACAAAAAACAAAGAACCCUAGCCCUAAACAGCAAGGAGCAGCAUUUGCCAGUAGCCGCCGCAGCUCCCCCCGCCUUCAGCGCCUCCAGCAGCAUCCGGACGCCGCAAGUUUCGGCCUCCACGCAUGCCAAACUCUCCACGCACCUGCAAACACGGAUUCAGAGAGUCCAUUAGCGAAAAUAUAGUGUAAAACAAAUGAGUUUUUAGGCUAUAUAAAGCCAUAUAUUUUGUAACAAAUGGGGGGGGCAAUAAAAAGGAUUCAAUAUCAACAAACAAAUUUUCUUUUCCGAAUACAAAAGGUUUUUUUCAUUUUUUUUCAGCAUUUUGAGUUUUGUUUUUUUUCUUUCCCCUUUUAGCCUCUUUUGUUAUUUUAUUUUUCAUUGAAAAUAAAAAGAAAGGAGGAAGAAAUUUACCUGGUCGCCGGAGUCGACGGGCCGGCGUCUUUUCCGUCGAUGGAGGCCAUGGGCACCAACUGAAUGGCGGCGUUGAAGGGUUGAUAAAACCCUAAAAGAAGUAGACUUUGCUUCAGGGAAAAAGAAAGUCUCCCUAGC